rnacentral:rRNA from 1 species
UACGUAGGGGGCAAGCGUUGUCCGGAAUCAUUGGGCGUAAAGAGCGUGUAGGCGGCUCGAUAAGUCCGCUGUGAAAGUCCAGGGCUCAACCCUGGAAGGCCGGUGGAAACUGUCGGGCUAGAGUCCGGAAGAGGCGAGUGGAAUUCCCGGUGUAGCGGUGAAAUGCGCAGAUAUCGGGAGGAACACCAAUGGCGAAGGCAGCUCGCUGGGACGUGACUGACGCUGAGACGCGAAAGCGUGGGGAGCAAACAGG